rnacentral:rRNA from 1 species
GUGCGUAACGCGUAUGCAACCUACCCUUUACUGGGGGAUAGCCCGGAGAAAUUCGGAUUAAUACCCCAUGGUAUCACAAGAUGGCAUCUGAAAGUGAUUAAAGAUUUAUCGGUAAGGGAUGGGCAUGCGUGACAUUAGAUAGUUGGUGAGGUAACGGCUCACCAAGUCCACGAUGUCUAGGGGUUCUGAGAGGAUGAUCCCCCACACUGGUACUGAGAUACGGACCAGACUCCUACGGGAGGCAGCAGUAGGGAAUAUUGGUCAAUGGGCGAGAGCCUGAACCAGCCAUGCCGCGUGCAGGAAGACAGCUUUCUGAGUUGUAAACUGCUUUUAUAUGGGAAGAAAAAGGCCUUGCGAGGCAAAUUGCCGGUACCAUAUGAAUAAGCACCGGCUAACUCCGUGCCAGCAGCCGCGGUAAUACGGAGGGUGCAAGCGUUGUCCGGAUUUAUUGGGUUUAAAGGGUGCGUAGGCGGAUCUUUAAGUCAGUGGUGAAAUCCUGCAGCUUAACUGUAGAAACUGCCAUUGAUACUGGAGAUCUUGAGUAUACUAGAGGUAGGCGG